CCUACGGGCGGCUGCAGUGGGGAAUUUUGGACAAUGGGGGCAACCCUGAUCCAGCCAUGCCGCGUGUGCGAAGAAGGCCUUCGGGUUGUAAAGCACUUUUGGCAGGAAAGAAACGGCGCCGGCUAAUAUCUGGCGUAACUGACGGUACCUGCAGAAUAAGCACCGGCUAACUACGUGCCAGCAGCCGCGGUAAUACGUAGGGUGCAAGCGUUAAUCGGAAUUACUGGGCGUAAAGCGUGCGCAGGCGGUUCGGAAAGAAAGAUGUGAAAUCCCAGGGCUCAACCUUGGAACUGCAUUUUUAACUCCCGAACUAGAGUGUGUCAGAGGGGGGUGGAAUUCCACGUGUAGCAGUGAAAUGCGUAGAUAUGUGGAGGAACACCGAUGGCGAAGGCAGCCCCCUGGGAUAACACUGACGCUCAUGCACGAAAGCGUGGGGAGCAAACAGGAUUAGAUACCCGAGUAGUC
rnacentral:rRNA from 1 species